AACGAACGCUGGCGGCAGGCCUAACACAUGCAAGUCGAGCGAGACCUUCGGGUCUAGCGGCGGACGAGUGAGUAACGCGUGGGAAUAUGCCCUUUGGUACGGAAUAGCCUCGGGAAACUGAGAGUAAUACCGUAUGUGCCCUUCGGGGGAAAGAUUUAUCGCCAAAGGAUUAGCCCGCGUUGGAUUAGGUAGUUGGUGGGGUAAUGGCCUACCAAGCCUAUGAUCCAUAGCUGGUUUGAGAGGAUGAUCAGCCACACUGGGACUGAGGCACGGCCCAGACUCCUACGGGAGGCAGCAGUGGGGAAUCUUAGACAAUGGGGGCGACCCUGAUCUAGCCAUGCCGCGUGAGUGAUGAAGGCCUUAGGGUUGUAAAGCUCUUUCAGCUGGAAGAUAAUGACGGUACCAGCAGAAGAAGCCCGGCUAACUCCGUGCCAGCAGCCGCCGUAA
rnacentral:rRNA from 1 species